CCUACGGGAGGCAGCAGUGGGGAAUAUUGGGCAAUGGGCGCAAGUCUGACCCAGCAACGUCGCGUGAAGGAAGAAGGCUCUCGGGUUGGAAACUUUUUUUUAGAGGGGAGUGCAGCAGACGGUACCUCUUGAAUAAGCUCUGCCUAACUACGUGCCAGCAGCCGCGGUAAUACGUAGGGAGCGAGCGUUGUCCGGAUUUACUGGGUGUAAAGGGCGUGCAGACGGGAGUAGAAGUCAGAUGUGAAAUCUCGCGGCUCAACCGCGGAACUGCAUUUGAAACUGUAUUUCUUGAGUACUGGAGAGGCAGGCGGAAUUCGUAGUGUAGCGGUGAAAUGCUUAGAUAUUAGGAGGAACACCAGUUGCGAAGGCAGUCUGCUAAACAGCAACUGACGGUGAGGCGCGAAAGCGUGGGGAGCAAACAGGAUUAGAUACCCCAGUAGUC
rnacentral:rRNA from 1 species